AAGCAAAAGUAUUUGUAAGUGUAGCAGUGGAAGCCUUACACUGGACAGCAGGUAGACCGCUAGUUAAAAUACUAAACAUGUGGUAAUCACUGACAGCUGGGAAGAACAAAUACGGCUGUGAGUCACAUAAAAGCUCACUACUUAGAGCAGCGGUUCUCAACCUAUGGGUUGCAACCCCUCUGGAGAUCAAACAACCCUUUCACAGGGGUCACCUAAGACCAUCAGAAAACACAGAUAUUUACAUUAUGAUUCAUAAUAGUAGAAAAAUUACAGUUAUGAGUAGCAGCAAAAGUAAUUUUUUUGGUUGGGGGUCACCACAACAUGAGGACCUAUAUUAAAGGUCCGUGGCAUUAGGAAGGUUGAGAACCACUGAUUUAGAGCAUUUAAGCUCUUGAUGGCUGAAAACCACAUUUCUUGGAACAAUGUCUUUCCUUGCUUGAUCUAUUAUAUUAAUCUUUUUUUUCCCAUGUGCUUACUAUAGCAAGAACAAGGAGUCAAGACCUUCCGCUCUCUAGUUUGCUUCCCUAAGACGACAAUUAUCACCAGUCUGGCUGGUGCUUCCACAACUUUCUUCACAUUCAUAUUUAACUUCUGUCUUAGAUAUGGGUUUUCUCACUCAUCCAGUUUCUUAGACAAAUGUCAAACCAGGCACAUGAGCUGACUGUUUGUUGUUGCCUGUCAAUAAACAUUCCCAGCAGCUGAGUAUGCAGACCACAAUCUGGAUGUGCUACAACUUCACUCAGCAUUACUUCAUUUGUCAGUAUCUGGUGAACAUUCACAUGUCCAGUUCAUUUGCUUCUAUUAUCUUUGUGAGACAGAUUUCCAAACUUCAGAAUGGUGGGCCAUUUACAGUUUUAAAAGCUUUUUCAAGUUUAUAGCUCCCAAAUGUUUUUAUGUACUAUAAUAAUUCAAAUUAUUUAGCUUUUGAAAAUCCCUAUUUUCAAAAUGCCUAUAUCCUCACUAGCACUGGAUGUGGCCAACUGUUGAACUUUUGCGCAUCUUCCUAAACGCAUCAGAUCCCAUCUCAUGUUUCUCACAUGGAUUUGCUCCACUCCUACGUUCUACUUGUCUCUCCAAUGGUCUAUGCACAGUAUCUUUCUGUUCCUUCUGCUUGCUCUCUUAAAUCCUGAAACAGAUAAAUUUCAAAUGUGCCACGUUAGGUUUGCUCUACUGUUAAGGGAUUGUUUUCAUCAUGAAUGUGCAUUUAGUUGCUGAGGGUCUGUCUCCCUCAUUAUAUCUCUAAGACUGUUACAUUUUUCUUAUAAAACAUACUUUAUCAUUUCAUAUCAUUUUCUUAAAUGUUCUGCAACCUAAAAUCUUUUUUGAGAACUUUUUUAUUGUUCUUGUUGUUUCGAGACAGGGUUUCUCUGUGUAGUUUUGUUGCCUGUCCUGGAUCUCGCUCUGUAGACCAGGACAGCCAGAGCUGUUACACAGAGAAACCCUGUCUGGGAAAAAAAUUUCAUUUGUAAUAAGCAAAUGAACUUGACUCCCUACUUAAAAUAGCAAAGCAGUUCACAGGAUAGGCCAACAGAAAACUUUCCAGUAAAGGCUAGCCCUGGAUAAUACAUAUACAAGCAAAACUAAAUGGACUCAGAAGGUUAUAUAUGCAUUUGUGCAUAAGUGUAUGUACUUACAUGUAAUAAUAAUAAUAAUUAAAGAAGAUAUCAUAAAUUUGGGAGGGUGGAGGAGUUGAAGGGGGAGAUAGAAAGGACCAGUUGAUGUAGAUGCAAUGCUCAUGUAUGAAAUUCUCAAAAAUAAAUAAAACUAUUAAUUAAAAAAAAAAGAGCAUAUACAAGCAAGCAGAGAAGCCCUAGUGUCAGGAAUCGUGUUACAGCAGUAUGAGGAAGAGAGAAAGCCCUGAACGAAUGAAGUCUUGAGUGACUGUGUGUUGUUGAUAUGGGUACAGCCAUGUCAAGGACCACAAAGCCUCAGAGCCAUGGGAAAAUGAAUGGCAAGGCCUUCCUUCCUGGUCCAAGUUCAAAUGUUGAUUAUGAAUGCAGAAAAAUGUCCACCAUAGCAUUCCCCCCUCAGCAGCCUGAAGACUGCUAUCCUACAGAGACAUUCCUACUCAGAUUAACUAAACCUGCCUCCUUGUCCAGCUAUAUACAAUAACCCUGCCUCCCUAUUCAACUCAAUAUAAUAAACACACUGAGUUUUUUACUUGCUUUGGUUUCCCCAUCAGAGAGACCAGUUCAACAGAAUCCAAUUUCUUUCUGUGUCUGUCUUUUCUUCAUUGAAACUUAGAAAUAAGAAAACAGGCCAGAGUGUCAACAAUAAGUAAAGUAUAAGAGGUAAGAAUGUCAGAGACCCCGUUAGCCAGACUUGUCUCUGGAGCCUUGAUGAACACAGCCCAACAGGGAAAAGCCAACCGAAUCAGUCACUAGACUCCAGAAUGAAAGCUUAGGAGUGCUUCCUUCCUCAGCUAGGAAAGGUGAGAGGGAAAAGGAAAACUGCAAAGCUUUGGCUUUAUCGGAGAGAAGGCAAGCAGGACCUGUUCUUCCAUAGCCAACUCACCUAUUCCAUUCAGUAAAAUACAGUACCUGCAUUCAGAAUACUCAGUACAUCAGCUUUCCACACAUUUGUCUUCGUUUUCUGUGAAUUUUAAACAUUUUAUCCUUACCAGAAUGAAGUGUGCACAAAGCUCAGUGUCAAGCAUUUACUUGGACUUGUUUCAAUGCCUGCUUCUGCAUAAUGCCCCCUCACUAAGGGGUGUUUUGCUGAUUCUUCACACCUCAUGGUGGCCAGGAAGCAGAGAGAGAGGAGAGAACCAAAGACAGAAUAACCUUUCAAGGACAUGUCUCCAGCUUCUUGAAGCUAAGAGCUACUUUCUAAUGCGGUGUUUCUCAACCUGUGGGUCACAACCCUUUUACAGGGGUCACCUAAGUUCAUCUGAAAACACAGAUAUUUACAUUAUGAUUCAUAACAGUAGCAAAAUUACAGUUAUGAAGUAGCAAGAAAAAUAAUUUUACGGUUGGGGGUCACCACAACACGAGGAACUGUAUUAAGGGGUCACAGCAUUAGGAAGGUUGAGAACACGCUCUAAUGUUUGCAGCAUCCUGCAAACUAGCACCACCAGCUGGAGCCUUUAAUCAUGCGUCUACAGCUUCAGCACAGGUUUUGGGAAGUCUGCAGCAGUUCUCAGUCUUACCCCAUGAAUGUCUCCUCGUCAAUGACACUGUAAACUGUGCAGGAUCUUUGUUCCUAGUGUUCUUGCUGUGAAUACAUGUCUGUGCAGUGUUGAAAACAUGGUGAGCAUUUUCAAUCCCCAAAUCCACAUGUCAGAUCAGAACAAUUUCUUAAUCCUGUCAUAGAUUUUGUAUAUUUUUUCUCUUAGCCCUAUCUGGAAGAAUGUCUUGUUAACUAGAGGCUGGCUCUACUGAAAAGCUCUCUAAAAUUCUUACCUCUUAUAUUUUACUUAUUUUUGUCAUUCUGGCUUUUUUUUUUUUUUUCUAAGUUUCAAGAACACCUGUCCCAGGUGAUAGAGCUUUGACCUUUCUCAUGAAAAUGGCCUUCUUGUCCAUCUCAGGGUAUGAGGAGUGGUUCAUCCUUCCUCCAUGCACCCCAUAUCCACAUGCCCAUGCCUGCUUGUGUUCACAUGAGAGGCUUUCCUCAGUCACCAGUCUUGGUUGUUUGUGUUUUAAGAACGAAGCGAUGAGAAAUAAAUGCUUGUUUGAACUUCAGAAAAGAUGAGUUUCACUCAUAAGAAUCCAGUGAUUCCCUACUGCUAGAGCUGCAGAGCUUUCCUCCUGGGCAGGUUCCUGAAAAGAACCCUCCUGACCUCCUUGUCAAAUACAGUUCAGCUGUACAAGUAGAGAAGGAUGGAGCCUAUGUAUUUUGUCUGUAAGCACUCCCACCCUUCUGAGAUGGACAAGAGGCACGGGCCUGGUACCUUGGAUGGAAGCAAAGAAUGUGGAGAUUAAGUCACUUCAUGGCAGUUUUUCAACAAGCUCUCCCUUUCUUAGUUCAUACUUCCUGAGUUGGUGGUGCCACUUUGUGACUUUGGGGGAUUCUAAGGUAUAAAUCAGCAUAGGUGACUUAGGAAUGGGCUUCUUUUGUUAUGUUAAACUGGCUAAUUCCAACAUUUUCCUGCCUGCUAAAUUCCAAACUUUUAUUGUGGUUUUUCUCCUUGGAAUUUUCUGUCCUCUUAGGUUUAUGAUUCUCUGAAACUCACUGUUCUCAUCUGUGGAUUUACAUGUACCUAUCAGGAUGCUUUCCACUAGGUCACAAAACUCUAAGUAGCUUAAAGUAAGGAAGCAGUUUCACAUAAUCAGAAUUUAGGAGACAGCAAGCCUCCAUGUGGUUUUCCAGUAGCUCAACAGAGAUGUCAAGGGACUAAACUGGGCCUCCCACAAGCUAGACUGGUGUGUGAGGAGUGGGGCUUUGCCCUGUAGGCAGGACAAACCAAUGUGUGGACUAUUUAUCUCCCUGGCCUUUAUUUCUUCUUUUCCUUCUUUCCCCAGCUACAAGGACUUUUGUUGAUUCUUUCCUCAGGUUCACGGGUACUUCAGUGCUUACCUUCUCUUUUGUAGUUCUCCUCCUGGGAUAGAUUUUUUUCAUUAUAAUAUCAGUAUAAACAGCCUUAGCCUACAGCCUGCUUUUAUGUAUAGAGUACUGUGUCAAGGUAAAAACUCUCACCACCAUGUUAGCUAAUCAUUUCCUUACUGCUUCUCACCCUUUCCUCCAAAUACUCGUCUUGCUGACAUAUUAUUUCAAGAUGAAUGCUACACUCUUCCUUCAGUGUGAAGUUAGAAUAGUGUCUGGCAAAAAAGCAGUUCUCAAUGUAGAGAUGUGAAAUGAGUACAUAAACACUGCUUUUUUGCCCUAAUCAAUAAGUAACAUCUUGGGGAAUGUAUGUGUAAUCCUUUACAACUGCAUACAUUAUUUAGUGGCCUGUAGCAAGUUGCAUGUGCUAAGUUUGAUGCUGAACUAUAUUAAAAAUAUUUUUAUUAAAAAAUAAUUAUUCAUGUAAUAUAUUCUGAUAAUAAUUUCCACUGCCCCAACUCCUCCCAGCUCCACCCCACCUACUUCACCCUCCUAAUUAUUUUUUCUUUCCUUUCUUUUUCUCUCUCUUUAGAAAACAAACAGGCAAACAAAAAUCAAAUCAGAAUUUUGUUGUUGUUUAUUCAAGACAGGGUUUCUCUUUGUAGCCCUGACUGUCCUGAAACUCACUCUGUAGACCAGGCUGGCCUCAAACUCAGAGAUCCACCUGCCUCUGCCUCUCAAGUGCUGGGACUAAAGAUGUGAAUCACCACUCUGGCUAGAAUAUUUUUUAAAGAAAGAAAAAAACACAAGAAACAUAUACACACAAACAAAACCCAUAAAAAAAAGAAACCAUUAUAUACAAGCAAAUGAGCAGUAAGACAAAAAAAAAAAUGUCCAAACAAA